AAAUAAAUAAAUAAAUAAAUAAAUAAAUUAUAUUUAUAUAUAUUAAAUCUCGUUCGGCGUCUGCUUUAAUCUAAUCUCUUUCUUCCUCAUUCAAGAGCAGCCGAGCGUCUUCCUCCCUCUCGAUCUUAGCCUCGCCGACCACAGUCGGUUCAACUCGACGCGCCACUACCAGUCGUCCGCCGUCGGUGUCCCUUUGCCUUGCAGGUCGCGCCGCCAAGCCGGCCCACGUUUCCGAUCAAAAAGCUGCAGCCGUCGGCGUAGACGAGCGACCCCGGGUCUGAGCGUGUGCGAGUCACGCGUCCGUCUGCAGCCGGUGCCAUUUGUCAUCAGGUGUGGGUUCUAUUCGACGUUUUCCGACUACCAGCGCCGCCGGUCAGCCCUUUCAUCUCCUUCUGUUAGUUUCUCUCUCUAAGUCAGAAACCCACGCGGAACAGUUUUGUUCAAGAUGCCAUGAGUAGGUCCUCCGUCCAGCAACUUCCACCGCCAUUCGUUCUGGACGCUGGGAUAUCUCGUCUGUCGCCACGUAGCGCUGUCUGCCGCAUCUUAUCUUGGCUGUGGGAGGAUUCUGCAAGAUUUUAGAGUUUUGUUGAGUUAUUCUUGAAAACCCAUUUAAGUAAUUGGUGUAUUAAGCGCGUUUGAGCCGCUGCCCAUCAAAAGUAAUAGACGUUUUGGACGUUUCGAAUGGAUUUUAUUGAAGACUUGUAAGCAGUUUUGGACUAAGCCUCGUUUUUGUUGCUUGUCAAGAUUUUACCAAGGUUGAAUUACUAAUGUGUUGGACUUAAUAUUGAGGAUAUUUUAGGCAGUUUCUCUUCCAAUGCUCAUCUUUGUUGUAGUAGAAACAUUUUCACUUUAACCUUGCCUUUGCGGUCAAUAGGUGCCUUCCUCUUCCCCUUACUCUUUUUCAUCUGAACACUUUUUUCCUUGGAGGAAGAAGAAGAGUUAGACUUUAUCUUAGAGGACGAUCCUCUUUUAUUUGCAGAGCUUUCUGUCCCUUAGUUUUAAAGAGGGACCGAUAAGUCUGUAGCUCAUUGAGAAUAGUGGUUAAGUUAUAUUCUAUCUUGUUCAUCAUCGCAUUUGUACGAAACUGUAAGAAGCUCUUCGGAAGAGACUCUAAAAUAAAACAGACUUGACUUUUAUCGUCUAUGAAAACUCCAUUUACUUCUGCUAUAUUGAAAUGGAUCAUCAUGUCCAAGAUAUGUUCUCUAACAGAGGCCCCUUCUUUCAUACGACAGUUAUAAACGUAUUUGAUGGCAUCAUGUCUAAGGGAGAAGGAUGGUUUUCCAAACAUCCCCUGUAGAGAUUCCAUAAUCUCUUUUGUGGUAUGCAUGAGAUCGUGUUUCUUUGCCGAAACAUCAUAUAUAUGCUGGCAAGAAUAUAGGCUCGGGCUUUUUCAUUUGCCCUUGUCCAUUUGUCAUAUGCUUCCCGAACAGUUUGAUUUAUGUUGGAGCCGGGGUUAGGAGGACAUUCCUCAGUUAAAAUGAAUCUCAGAUCAUCUAUUACUAGUAUUGUAUUCAGGUUUGAUUUCCAUGUAGAGUAUUUGUCCCCGAUAAGUUUCUCAGAAGCCAUGUAGAGUAAUUGUCCCCAUUACUCUACAUGUAGAGUAUUGUAUUCCAUGUAGAGUAAUUGUUCCCAUUAACCUCAGAUCAUCUAUUACCAGUAUUGUAUUCAGGUUUGAUUUCCAUGUAGAAUAAUUGUCCCCAUCAAGUUUCUCAGAAGUCAGUAACUGUAUUAAUGAGCUAGUCAUCUCUGAAAGUAUAACCAAA